UACAGAGGGGGCUAGCGUUGUUCGGAAUUACUGGGCGUAAAGCGCGCGUAGGCGGUGCUGCAAGUUAGGAGUGAAAUCCCGGGGCUUAACCUCGGAACUGCUCUUAAGACUGCAGUGCUUGAUGAUGGUAGGGGGUGGUGGAAUUCCUAGUGUAGAGGUGAAAUUCGUAGAUAUUAGGAGGAACACCAGAGGCGAAGGCGGCCACCUGGACCAUUUAUGACGCUAAAGCGCGAAAGCGUGGGGAGCAAACAGG
rnacentral:rRNA from 1 species